rnacentral:rRNA from 1 species
UGAGGAAUAUUGGUCAAUGGACGCAAGUCUGAACCAGCCAAGUAGCGUGCAGGAUGACGGCCCUAUGGGUUGUAAACUGCUUUUAUAUGGGGAUAAAGUGGGGAACGUGUUCCCUUUUGCAGGUACCAUAUGAAUAAGGACCGGCUAAUUCCGUGCCAGCAGCCGCGGUAAUACGGAAGGUUCGGGCGUUAUCCGGAUUUAUUGGGUUUAAAGGGAGCGUAGGCCGUUUGGUAAGCGUGUUGUGAAAUGUAGGAGCUCAACUUCUAGAUUGCAGCGCGAACUGUCAGACUUGAGUGCGCACAACGUAGGCGGAAUUCAUGGUGGAGCGAUGAAAUGCUUAGAUAUCAUGAAGAACUCCGAUUGCGAAGGCAGCUUACGGGAGCGCAACUGACGCUGAAGCUCGAAGGUGCGGGUAUCGAACAGG